UUAGAUGUCCGGGGCCGCACGCGCGCUACACUGAAGGAAACAGCGUGUGCUCUCCUGGUCCGGCUGGAUCGGGUAACCCGCUGAACCUCCUUCGUGAUAGGGAUAGGGGAUUGUAACUAUUCCCCUUGAACGAGGAAUUCCUAGUAGUCGCGGAUCAUCAGUCCGCGACGACUACGUCCCUGCGCUUUGUGCACACCGCCCGUCGCUACUAUCGAUUGAGCGAAGGAAGUGAGGUCUUCGGACUGGCGUUCCUGACGAUGUAUGUCGGAGGGUUCGACCGGAAAGAUGACCAAACUUGUCCGCUUAGAGAAAGUAAAAGUCGUAACAAGGUUGCC
rnacentral:rRNA from 1 species